ACUAAGGAGGAGCUGGAGAGACAGGUGGUGGAUCAGUGAAGAGCCAGGAGCAGCUGGCUGCGGAGCUUGCGGAGUACACAACCAAGAUCGCACUCCUGGAAGAGGCACUGAGGCGCAAGGAGGAUGAAGUUGAAGAGUGGCAGCACAGAGCCUGAGAAGACCAGGAUGACCUGGUGAAGACCAAGGAGGAGCUGCACCUGGUGAUUAUGGCACCCCCCGCCCCCACUGCCCCUCGUAUAGAAGCCGGUGAGCUACCAUGUCCAAGACAGUUUGCAGGACGAGGGCUCUGAGCCCACGGGCUACAGAGCGGAGCUGUCUAGCGAGGGCAUCCGGGAUAACCGCAAUGAAGAGAAACACAUCACCGAAGCGGAGAAGAACGAGCGCGUGCAGCGGGCCCUGCUGACGCUGAGCGGCGAGCUGUCCCAGGCCCGAGAUGAGAAUAAGAGGACUCAUAAUUACAUCAUCCACAAUGAGAACAUGGGGCAAGGUGGGGACAAGUACAAGACGCUGCGGCAGAUCCGGCAGGGCAACACCAAGCAGCGCAUCGACCAGUUCGGGGCCAUGUAA
rnacentral:lncRNA from 1 species